rnacentral:rRNA from 1 species
GACAGAGGGGGCAAGCGUUGCUCGGAAUCACUGGGCGUAAAGCGAGUGUAGGCGGUUUGGUAAGUCGGAUGUGAAAGCCCCGGGCUCAACCCGGGAAGUGCACUCGAUACUGCCAAGCUAGAGUAUCGGAGAGGUUGGUGGAAUUCUCGGUGUAGAGGUGAAAUUCGUAGAUAUCGAGAGGAACACCGGUGGCGAAGGCGGCCAACUGGACGAAUACUGACGCUGAGACUCGAAAGCGUGGGGAGCAAACAGG